GUGAGCAUUACCAGUUUCACAUUAAGACGCUGUUUAAAGCAGAAAUGGCGGGCAAAUAGAAUUUCUCACUUCUCUCACCUUCUCACUCUUUCCGUCGCAAUGCAGAGCAGUGUUGAGGACCCUGCACGGGCGAAAAUGGCAGAACUACGGUUGAUCUGCGACCGGGAGAUUCCGAUCAAGCAGCAGAAUAUGGACUCCGCUAUUGUUGCUUUUCGAAAUUCUCUGGAGUCGAUUAAGUCCACAGCACAAGGCGCUGCCCAAAAUCAAGUGAAGCUAGGUAAACUUAAAGCUAACCUAAGAGAGUUGGAGACUGAUUUAGUGAAAGCUCUAGCAGUCAAGAAUCGUAAAGAGGCGAAGCGGAUGGCUUUACUAGACUCCAUUUCAUCGGCAAAAGCAAGAAAUGAGGAGCUUAAAAGUAUAGUGCAAGAUCAAAGAGCUAGGAAGGAUGAAUACGCAGCAAUUCUUUCUCAACAGUGUGAUGAUUUGGCAAUGUCUAAUGAAAAGAGUAAACAAGAUGUUGAGCAUAGAGGAGCAAUUCAACAGGCCAUUGCAUGGUACAAUAGGGUUCUUGGCUUCCAAAUCGAAGGUGGAUGUGGAGUGAAAUUCAUAUUCACUAACAUAAAUUUAAAAAAUCCAACUGAGGAGUACUACUUCACUAUUCGCCAUGAAAACGAUACUUACACCUUGUUGGAUUGCAAUCCUCAUUUGAAUGACACAAAGGAGUUGAUCCAUGAGUUGAAUAAAACCAAUGGCUUAUUUGAGUUUGUCAGAAUUAUGAGAGCAAAGUUUCAAGAAGCUGCAGCAUCUGGAUUUCUGCCACAAAUUUCAUCUAAUGACCGAGGUGACUCCAUGAUCUGCACAUCUGCUCCAGUUUCUUCUAUUUCAACUGACAGUAGAGGUUCGUCUCCAGCCAAGCAAAAUGAGCUUCAAAUUCAAGAUGGAGUAGCUGCUUGACAAUCCAAGAAAAAUCAUGGAAGGGAUGAGUGGGUAGAAGCAGUGGUCCAGGUUGAACCUGGGAGGGCUGAGAUUGUCCAGAUCUGCCGACUCUUUUAUUUUCAGGCCAAGAAAUGUAGGUCAAGUUGAAGCAGUAGUCUCCUCGAGCCUACUAAGUUGAAUCUUGCAUUAUGUGCCCUAACCGUUCAGCUAGUCAUAUUUCAUGACUGAGGGAAUGCCGACUGUAUAAAUAUAAGGCGAAAGCGUGUUUGUUUAAUGUUGCAGAGCUUAAUCCGACCAGAUUGAAGAAAAUCCUGAACCAAGCAAUGAAUUCCAUUAGACAGCAUCCUCUCCAUGCUGCGACUUUGAUAAUGUAUUUUUACUUUGGGACAAGAAUCAUUGCAUUAAAACGAAUGGGUUAUAUUCCCAAAAUCAUAAAUUAUUAAUGCUGGUGUUUUCCUCGUUGAUCUGAUCAUCUGAUUUCAACCUGUGUUGUACAAUUGGCAAAUUAAUUAAGCGUGAGAUUCAUAUUGUA